UACGUAGGAGGCAAGCGUUGUCCGGAGUUACUGGGCGUAAUGGGCUCGUAGGCGGUCUGUCACGUCGGGAGUGAAAACACGGGGCUUAACCCCGUGCCUGCUUCCGAUACGGGCAGACUAGAGGUAUGCAGGGGAGAACGGAAUUCCUGGUGUAGCGGUGAAAUGCGCAGAUAUCAGGAGGAACACCGGUGGCGAAGGCGGUUCUCUGGGCAUUACCUGACGCUGAGGAGCGAAAGUGUGGGGAGCGAACAGG
rnacentral:rRNA from 1 species